UAUCAUGGGGGAUUAUUCUAAUGAAAGGAAAAAUUGGACGGUUUGACGACAGAAGAUGACCAUGUCUGCACCUUGGAGCAUUCCUACCCCAUCAUGGUGCCCCCAUUGACAUGAGGCCUGAGGUAAAGUGACCAUUGUGAUAUGAUGUUGCUGAAACCCAGGCCACGUUCACAUGGUCCUCCGUGCCACAUCGCACCUCUUCUUGUCAAUCCACCAUCCUUAAAAUUGCGCCUCAGGUACACAGGGCACCAGCUCACGUGCGUUACAAAUAUCAUCCACAGACCCCUGAUGAUGUCCCUAGGAAGCAGGUUCUGCCUCUUCUAUCAUGUGCAGGGCAGGAACCUGGGGACUAUGUGAGAGACACGGGGGGGUAGAGAGGUCACAGAUCUGGGACGGCAAGCAUAGAAAGGUCUGAAUUCAGCUCCGUCUCCAGAAAAGUAGGACCUGCCUUGCAUUUUCAGAGAGUUGUGGCUGUGGCAUUUUUGGCUCCUGCUGUACAGUUAAGGAGAGGGCGUGGGGCAAGCAGUCAUCUGCCCAGAAGGGGCUCUGGAUAGGUCUGACUGAAGGGAGGGGCCCAGGGGCUGGAAUUUGACAAAGUGACGUCACUUCCUUGGGGACAGGCCCACAAUUGAUUGAGAGCUCUGGUAACCAGGAAGCUGCGUUCUAGAACUCCCUGCUUUCCAACUCACUUAACUGGAGCCGGUCAAGAGAGCAAGAUGUUCUGUUGCUGUUGCCCUACUUUCAGGCGCUCUGGGCUCAGGAGAGUCCAGACGGACAGAUGUUCAUGUCGCUGUCAACGUCAGCUCGGCCCUCUUCUCCGAAGCUUCUGGUUAUGGGUCGGGAGACCUCAACAGAGCUGCACCCAGGAGAUCUUGGAGGAGAUGUUCUGUGGCUUCAACCCUUCUAACUCCCUAGACAAUGAUCGGGUGCACCAGGCAAACAAGGAGCAGUGCUGUUCUGAGGUGAGAAUGGGAAGAGGGUUCUGCACAGAGAGAUGGCCCCCAUACAAACAUGGAGAGAAACCUAGGGCCCUCCCGUAGUGUUUCCACAUGAGUGCCACACAGGCCCAACGCAAAGAGACCUGAACCUCCACUCCUAACCUCCGGCUACAUCUGAGGUGAUAAGACACUGUUCUGCUUGGUUGGAAUGGUGCAGAAGAGAUUUCAUGCUUUUGAGGAGUGGGGGUGGUUUGUUUUUUUCCCUCAGAGCAAUGAGUGUCUUUGCGUUUCACUACCAUUUUCCUUAUUUCACCCACGCACCCCAGGUAUCCUGUGUAGAAUGCGGCUCCACUGUCAUAACACGACAUCUGCAGGCCUCACAGAAGAUCACACUAAAGAGGGUGAUUUAAUACAAAAGGAAGGGUGGGAUGAAGCCAUUCUCUAUGUUUAUCUAUAAGGUGUCGUAUGACAGAACACAUCAGAUCAUUGUAGGCCCAACAAGUCAUGAGCUGUGUCCUUAUGGAUCUUCAUAGUACUCCAUCAAUGGGGCCAUCUGCCACAGUGAUUCAGCCAUUCAAGGCCCUUGGCACUUGACCUGAUGCUAUUCUCUUGCCAUGUCUGCCGUGCUGCAAGGAGCACCUUGUGUGUCCCCACAGACUGUUUCAGUUGCUAGAUCUGCCAUAACCCGGAAGCCCAGUUUGGGUGGAAGCCCUCGGAUGUCUCCUGACCCAAGUAGCUGACUCUGUCUUUUCUGUUCAGAUCCACACAGGAAAUAUUGGAUGAGUUGCUCCAAGGGUUCAAUUGCUCCAUCUCCCCCUGAGACACACAGGUGCAUCAGGCCACAAGCAUGGCCGGUCUGGGCUGAGAACAGGUCCCAUUCAUGGUGAAAAUCAGGACCCACAUAUGAUCAGGGCAAGCCAAGAACCCAGACUAGAAACAACUGGCUCCCCUGGAGCCUGCCGGAGAAGGUGCUCUCCCCUGAUCCUUCCUCCCUAGGUCAGGAACAGACCAAGGAACAUCAGCUUAGGGGAAAGGCCACACAGCCCAGCCCAUGCUUUGGUCUCUUCUCAGGCCCAAUAUGUGGGAUCUUGAGCAGCAUUUG
rnacentral:lncRNA from 12 species